CCUACGGGGUGCUGCAGUGAGGAAUAUUGGUCAAUGGACGAGAGCCUGAACCAGCCAAGUAGCGUGAAGGAUGACUGCCCUACGUGUCGUAAACCUCUUUUAUAAAGGAAUAAAGUGUUGCACGUGUGCCUUUUUGUAUGUACUUUAUGAAUAAUCAUCGGCUAACUCCGUGCCAGCAGCCGCGGUAAUACGGAGGAUCCGCUCGUUCUCCGGAUUUAUUGGGUUUAAAGGGAGCGUAGGGGGGUUUGUAAGUCAGUUGUGAAUGUUUGCGGAGCAAACCUAAAAUUGCAGUUGAAACAGGCAGUCUUGAGGACAGUAGAGGGUGGCGGAAUUCGUGGUGUAGCGGUGAAAUGCUUAGAUAGCACGAAGAACUCCGAUUGCGAAGGCAGCUUGCUGGACUGAAACUGACACUGAGGCUCGAAAGUGUGGGUAUCAAACAGGAUUAGAUACCCAUGUAGUC
rnacentral:rRNA from 1 species